rnacentral:ncRNA from 1 species
GGACUUGAUUGUAUUGAGCCUUGGUAUGGAAACCUGCUAAGUGGUAACUUCCAAAUUCAGAGAAACCCUGGAAUUAAAAAAGGGCAAUCCUGAGCCAAAUCCGUGUUUUGAGAAGGGAUUCUCGAACUAGAAUACAAAGGAAAAGGAUAGGUGCAGAGAACCAAUGGAAGCUGUUCUAACGAAUCGAGUUAAUUACGUUGUGUUGUUAGUGGAAUUCCUUCUAAUUCUAAAUUAGAGAAAGAGGG